rnacentral:rRNA from 1 species
CCGCGUGCAGGAAGAAGCUCUGCGGAGUGUAAACUGCUUUUACCAGGGAAGAGUACGGACGGUACCUGGAGAAUCAGCCCCGGCUAACUACGUGC